CCAAAGGCUCUUUUCAGAGCCACCCACCGCUUCAGAAAAAGGGCUG
rfam:Phaethon lepturus contig45124, whole genome shotgun sequence.